rnacentral:rRNA from 1 species
AGUGAACGCUGGCGGCAUGCUUAAUACAUGCAAGUUGAACGGAAUAGCAAUAUUUAGUAGCAAACGGGUGAGUAAUACAUAGGAAUCUACCUAGUAGUGGGGGACAACAGUUGGAAACGACUGCUAAUACCGCAUAUACCGGAGACGGGAAAGGUGUUUUGUUUGUUCUUUAAUUUUGUACUUGUACAGAUUUAAAAAACAAACAUACAUCGCUAUUUGAAGAGCCUAUGUCUGAUUAGCUAGUUGGCGGGGUAAAGGCCCACCAAGGCGACGAUCAGUAGUCGGUCUGAGAGGAUGAUCGGCCACACUGGGACUGAGACACGGCCCAGACUCCUACGGGAGGCAGCAGUAGGGGAAUAUUGGACAAUGGGCGAAAGCCUGAUCCAGCAAUGCCGCGUGAGUGAUGAAGGCCCUCUGGGUUGUAAAGCUCUUUUAUUUGGGAAGAUAAUGACGGUACCAAAUGAAUAAGCACCGGCUAACUACGUGCCAGCAGCCGCGGUAA